UGGUGGUCCUGUCUGGCUCUAGGGCUGUCUGGAGUCAUGUACUGUCUGUCUGGAGUCAUGUACUGUCUGUCUGGAGUCAUGUACUGUCUGUCUGGAGUCAUGUACUGUCUGUCUGGAGUCAUGUACUGUCUGUCUGGAGUCAUGUACUGUCUGUCAUAGACUACUAGGUCUGCCUGGAGUAAUGUACUGUCUGUCAUAGACCACUAGGUCUGUCUGGAGUAAUGUACUGUCUGUCAUAGACCACUAGGUCUGUCUGGAGUCAUGUACUGUCUGUCAUAGACCACUAGGUCUGUCUGGUGUAAUGUACUGUCUGUCAUAGACCACUAGGUCUGUCUGGGGUAAUGUACUGUCUGUCAUAGACCACUAGGUCUGUCUGUAGCAAUGUACUGUCUGUCUGGAGUCAUGUACUGUCUGUCUGUCUGUCUGGAGUAAUGUACUGUCUGUCUGGAGUAAUAUGCUGUCUGUCUGGAGUAAUGUACUGUCUGUCAUAGACCACUAGGUCUGCCUGGAGUCAUGUACUGUCUGUCAUAGACCACUAGGUCUGCCUGCAGCCAUGUACUGUCUGUCUGGAGUCAUGUACUGUCUGUCUGUCUGGAGUCAUGUACUGUCUGUCUGUCUGGAGUCAUGUACUGUCUGCCUGGGGUAAUGUGCUGUCUGUCAUAGACCACUAGGUCUGUCUGGGGUAAUGUACUGUCUGUCAUAGACCACUAGGUCUGUCUGGAGUCAUUUGCUGUCUGUCUGG